GUUAAGCGACUAAGCGUACACGGUGGAUGCCCUGGCAGUCAGAGGCGAUGAAGGACGUGCUAAUCUGCGAAAAGCGUCGGUAAGGUGAUAUGAACCGUUACAGCCGGCGAUGUCCGAAUGGGGAAACCCAGUGCAAUUCGUUGCACUAUCGUUAACUGAAUACAUAGGUUAACGAGGCGAACCGGGGGAACUGAAACAUCUAAGUACCCCGAGGAAAAGAAAUCAACCGAGAUUCCCCCAGUAGCGGCGAGCGAACGGGGAGCAGCCCAGAGUCUGAAUCAGCUUGUGUGUUAGUGGAACGGUCUGGAAAGUCCGACGGUACAGGGUGAUAGUCCCGUACACCAAAAUGCACAGGUUGUGAACUCGAAGAGUAGGGCGGGACACGUGGUAUCCUGUCUGAAUAUGGGGGGACCAUCCUCCAAGGCUAAAUACUCCUGACUGACCGAUAGUGAACCAGUACCGUGAGGGAAAGGCGAAAAGAACCCCGGCGAGGGGAGUGAAAAAGAACCUGAAACCGUGUACGUACAAGCAGUGGGAGCACCUUCGGGUGUGACUGCGUACCUUUUGUAUAAUGGGUCAGCGACUUAUAUUCUGUAGCAAGGUUAACCGUAUAGGGGAGCCGCAGGGAAACCGAGUCUUAACUGGGCGUUAAGUUGCAGGGUAUAGACCCGAAACCCGGUGAUCUAGCCAUGGGCAGGUUGAAGGUUGGGUAACACUAACUGGAGGACCGAACCGACUAAUUUUGAAAAAUUAGCGGAUGACUUGUGGCUGGGGGUGAAAGGCCAAUCAAACCGGGAGAUAGCUGGUUCUCCCCGAAAGCUAUUUAGGUAGCGCCUCGUGAAUUCAUCUUCGGGGGUAGAGCACUGUUUCGGCUAGGGGGUCAUCCCGACUUACCAACCCGAUGCAAACUACGAAUACCGAAGAAUGUUAUCACGGGAGACACACGGCGGGUGCUAACGUCCGUCGUGAAGAGGGAAACAACCCAGACCGCCAGCUAAGGUCCCAAAGUCACAGUUAAGUGGGAAACGAUGUGGGAAGGCACAGACAGCCAGGAUGUUGGCUUAGAAGCAGCCAUCAUUUAAAGAAAGCGUAAUAGCUCACUGGUCGAGUCGGCCUGCGCGGAAGAUGUAACGGGGCUAAACUGUGCACCGAAGCUGCGGCAGCGACACUAUGUGUUGUUGGGUAGGGGAGCGUUCUGUAAGCCUGCGAAGGUGGCCUGUGAGGGUUGCUGGAGGUAUCAGAAGUGCGAAUGCUGACAUAAGUAACGAUAAUGCGGGUGAAAAGCCCGCACGCCGGAAGACCAAGGGUUCCUGUCCAACGUUAAUCGGGGCAGGGUGAGUCGACCCCUAAGGCGAGGCCGAAAGGCGUAGUCGAUGGGAAACAGGUUAAUAUUCCUGUACUUGGUGUUACUGCGAAGGGGGGACGGAGAAGGCUAUGUUAGCCGGGCGACGGUUGUCCCGGUUUAAGCAUGUAGGCGGAGGUUCCAGGUAAAUCCGGUACCUUUUAACGCUGAGGUGUGAUGACGAGGCACUACGGUGCUGAAGUAACAAAUGCCCUGCUUCCAGGAAAAGCCUCUAAGCAUCAGGUAACAUUGAAUCGUACCCCAAACCGACACAGGUGGUCAGGUAGAGAAUACCAAGGCGCUUGAGAGAACUCGGGUGAAGGAACUAGGCAAAAUGGUGCCGUAACUUCGGGAGAAGGCACGCUGAUAUGUAGGUGAAGCCCCUGCGGGUGGAGCUGAAAUCAGUCGAAGAUACCAGCUGGCUGCAACUGUUUAUUAAAAACACAGCACUGUGCAAACACGAAAGUGGACGUAUACGGUGUGACGCCUGCCCGGUGCCGGAAGGUUAAUUGAUGGGGUUAUCCGUAAGGAGAAGCUCUUGAUCGAAGCCCCGGUAAACGGCGGCCGUAACAAUAACGGUCCUAAGGUAGCGAAAUUCCUUGUCGGGUAAGUUCCGACCUGCACGAAUGGCGUAAUGAUGGCCAGGCUGUCUCCACCCGAGACUCAGUGAAAUUGAACUCGCUGUGAAGAUGCAGUGUACCCGCGGCAAGACGGAAAGACCCCGUGAACCUUUACUAUAGCUUGACACUGAACAUUGAGCCUUGAUGUGUAGGAUAGGUGGGAGGCUUUGAAGCGUGGACGCCAGUCUGCGUGGAGCCAACCUUGAAAUACCACCCUUUAAUGUUUGAUGUUCUAACGUUGGCCCCUAAUCGGGGUUGCGGACAGUGUCUGGUGGGUAGUUUGACUGGGGCGGUCUCCUCCCAAAGAGUAACGGAGGAGCACGAAGGUUAGCUAAUCCUGGUCGGACAUCAGGAGGUUAGUGCAAUGGCAUAAGCUAGCUUGACUGCGAGCGUGACGGCGCGAGCAGGUGCGAAAGCAGGUCAUAGUGAUCCGGUGGUUCUGAAUGGAAGGGCCAUCGCUCAACGGAUAAAAGGUACUCCGGGGAUAACAGGCUGAUACCGCCCAAGAGUUCAUAUCGACGGCGGUGUUUGGCACCUCGAUGUCGGCUCAUCACAUCCUGGGGCUGAAGUAGGUCCCAAGGGUAUGGCUGUUCGCCAUUUAAAGUGGUACGCGAGCUGGGUUUAGAACGUCGUGAGACAGUUCGGUCCCUAUCUGCCGUGGGCGCUGGAGAAUUGAGGGGGGCUGCUCCUAGUACGAGAGGACCGGAGUGGACGCAUCACUGGUGUUCGGGUUGUCAUGCCAAUGGCAUUGCCCGGUAGCUAAAUGCGGAAGAGAUAAGUGCUGAAAGCAUCUAAGCACGAAACUUGCCCCGAGAUGAGUUCUCCCUGAGACUUUAAGUCUCCUGAAGGAACGUUAAAGACGAUGACGUUGAUAGGUCGGGUGUGUAAGCGUAGCGAUACGUUGAGCUAACCGAUACUAAUGAACCGUGAGGCUUAACC
rnacentral:rRNA from 15 species